AUUGAACGCUGGCGGCAGGCUUAACACAUGCAAGUCGAGCGGAGAUGAGGUGCUUGCACCUUAUCUUAGCGGCGGACGGGUGAGUAAUGCUUAGGAAUCUGCCUAUUAGUGGGGGACAACAUUCCGAAAGGAAUGCUAAUACCGCAUACGUCCUACGGGAGAAAGCAGGGGAUCUUCGGACCUUGCGCUAAUAGAUGAGCCUAAGUCGGAUUAGCUAGUUGGAGGGGUAAAGGCCUACCAAGGCGACGAUCUGUAGCGGGGCGUAGAGGAUGAGCCGCCACCCUGGGACUGAGACACGGCCCAGACUCCUACGGGAGGCAGAAGUGGGGAAUAUUGGACAAUGGGGGGAACCCUGAUCCAGCCAUGCCGCGUGUGUGAAGAAGGCCUUAUGGUUGUAAAGCACUUUAAGCGAGGAGGAGGCUACUGAGACUAAUACUCUUGGAUAGUGGACGUUACUCGCAGAAUAAGCACCGGCUAACUCUGUGCCAGCCGCCGCCGUAACAC
rnacentral:rRNA from 1 species